rnacentral:rRNA from 1 species
AUUGAACGCUGGCGGCAGGCCUAACACAUGCAAGUCGAACGAGCGGCGGACGGGUGAGUAAUGUCUGGGAAACUGCCUGAUGGAGGGGGAUAACUACUGGAAACGGUAGCUAAUACCGCAUACCAUCGGAUGUGCCCAGAUGGGAUUAGCUAGUAGGUGGGGUAAUGGCUCCCCUAGGCGACGAUCCCUAGCUGGUCUGAGAGGAUGACCAGCCACACUGGAACUGAGACACGGUCCAGACUCCUACGGGAGGCAGCAGUGGGGAAUAUUGCACAAUGGGCGCAAGCCUGAUGCAGCCAUGCCGCGUGGAUGAAGAAGGCCUUCGGGUUGUAAAGUACUUUCAGCGGGGAGGCGUUACUCGCAGAAGAAGCACCGGCUAACUCCGUGCCAGCAGCCGCGGUAAUAC